UACGGGGGGGGGCAAGCGUUGUUCGGAAUUACUGGGCGUAAAGGGCUCGUAGGUGGCCAACUAAGUCGGACGUGAAAUCCCUCAGCUUAACUGGGGAACUGCGUCCGAUACUGGAUGGCUUGAGUUUGGGAGAGGGAUGCGGAAUUCCAGGUGUAGCGGUGAAAUGCGUAGAUAUCGGGAGGAACACCUGCGGUGUAGACGGCUUACUGGACCAUAACUGACGCUGAGGCACGAAAGCGUGGGUAGCAAACAGG
rnacentral:rRNA from 1 species